rnacentral:rRNA from 1 species
GACGGAGGGUGCUAGCGUUGUCCGGAAUCAUUGGGCGUAAAGCGCGUGUAGGCGGCUCGGUAAGUCCGCUCUGAAAGCCCGGGGCUCAACCCCGGGAGGCGGGUGGAUACUGCUGAGCUCGAGUCCGGAAGAGGAGUGUGGAAUUCCUGGUGUAGCGGUGAAAUGCGCAGAUAUCAGGAGGAACACCAAUGGCGAAGGCAGCACUCUGGGACGGUACUGACGCUGAGACGCGAAAGCGUGGGGAGCAAACAGG